GGGGAUUUGGCUCAGUGGUAGAGCGCUUGCCUAGGAAGCGCAAGGUCCUGGGUUCGGUCCCUAGCCCCG
rfam:Rattus norvegicus chromosome 5, whole genome shotgun sequence.